rnacentral:misc_RNA from 1 species
UGUUAUGUACGUUUCCAACUGCUGGAACAAUAUUAAGGGUAAUCAUUGCCAAAGGCAACGAGAAGCAUAUUCUCCACUUAUUGAGUGCUGGUAAAUGGGUGAGAUUUCUCAACAUUCUUUGUGAAGUGCAUGAAGGAUUAUGGCGUGGUGUGUUGACGCCCUUCACAAAGAUUUGUUACGUGUCAAAUGACAACCAUCUCAUUUUAGGGUGCCAGAGGUCUUACAAUGAGCGCUUGUCAUUGGAAUUGGGGCGC